rnacentral:rRNA from 1 species
CCAUGCCGCGUGAGUGAUGAAGGCCUUCGGGUUGUAAAACUCUUUCGACGGGGACGAUAAUGACGGUACCCGUAGGAAGAACGCUCCGGCUAAACUUCCGUGC